AUGAACGAGUCCAUCCUGCACAAAGACAGCAGUUUGAAGAGCAGCCUUACCCUGGACGUCCAUGAAGAGGAGCAUCCUCUGAAACUCAAAGUGGAGGCUUUAUUGGCGCAGCGACACAAUUCCACGGUGAAUAAGGAGGUAUGUACUAUGUACCAUAUCUGGGAUCAAUUGUGUUUUGGAAGCGGACCAGCAUACACGUUUAAAAUGUAUAUAGCUGUUGCAGUGGAUGGUUAUUUGUUGACAUUUCUUCAUGUUUGGUCCCUUAUCCCAUUGUUCAGGACAAAGCAGCCAAGGGCUUCCAGCACUUCCUCGAUGUCCUCAACAAAGGGGUGGACAUCGACAGGCUCUCAAAGAUUGUCAACAAUUUCAAGGAUUUACCCUCUAUGGGAGAGGAGCUGCCACAAGGUCAGCCGCCUCCACUUCAUGGCCAGCCCGAGACCAACUCUAAGAAUGAGAGGAAGGUGCCCUCUCGCAAAAGGCGCUCCCGAUUUGAUGAGUUCCCACAAGCUUGAAGAGUUCAACCUGAAGAUGAAGCGGAAAUCGACGCAACAAACACCAACAUAAACUCAAAGGCAGUUUGUUGUAAGUAAAAGCAGUAGAAAUACUCAUCUAUUUCGCCAAAGAAUGUGUAUACUGGCGUGUUCACUCCACUUUGGAGAAAUUUGGAAAAUAGAGUUGUGUUUUAAGUGUCUUAAAUUAAUGACCCUGGAAUAUUUAAUUUGGGUCAGUUAUGCAAUGAUUGUUUUUCUGUCGUAGCAAGUAAUUUGUCUGAACUCUUCCUUUUUUCUGCAGAUCUUCACUUGGCAUCAUGAGCUCAUCUCCCACUAGAAUAGAACCUGCUGCUGACCCAUCUAGACCCUAUGGACAUCAGUUGGCUUACAUUGUUACCUAUCAACCAUUUAUAGAUUUGUAAUGACACUAGCAAAGGAUUUGUUAUCUUUGAGCCACAUCCUUUAAGGCUACAUAGUGAAGUUUUUUUUUUCAGAUUGGGUUUAUCUGUAGUAGCAUGGGUACGGUCAGGGGCUUUUCUUGACAACGUGAUCUGACUAGCAAAAAUGAUUGCCUAUAUAGGCUUUUCGCUUUAAUUAGGUCCUGGAUAUUUUCCUAGGCUGGUCAUUUGGUCGGGAAAAACUCUUAACCCAUUUCUGUGGAUCCUCUUUCACUGUGUAUAUAUACAAAAUAAAGAGUUAUUUUAUUUCUUUUUCUCAAAAAGUUACUUCAAUAUGGAAGUCAUGCUGAUGCUCUAAACUAUGUCACACUCCGUCCUGUUGGCGGCAGUAUUAUAAUUUUAAUCAUAAGAAGGUGGGGGGGGAAAUCUACAGAAGCAGGUACAGCAGAAAAAUAAAAUACUUUGUCUUUGGCUAGCUAGAUCUUACUUUUGUGUUCGCUAAUAUAUGAAUUUUUAUGCAAUUGUAUUUGAAGUCGAGCACUCUGUCAGGCUUUGGUAGGGUACGUGGAACUUGUUUGAUGUCUCAAAAUCCGAAAUGACACGGCGAACAUAAUGUGACAGUACCCUCUUUCAGGCCUAAGACAGAGCGCGGGUGAGGUUGCAGACAGGAAGUAAACACUCGUUUUAUAGUAACUGCUUGCACAUUCUUUUUUAAGACUAAGGUCAUGUGUUUGGUCUUGAUAAAAAACAAAACAAUUAUUGGGCUAUAUAUAUAUAUAUAUAUAUAUAUACUUCUGUCACGCUCACAGCAUAUUCUGAAAAUGACAGCUUGUAGCUAACGUUUGCUACCUAGCUUAGUAGCAGAGGUUCUGCAUCAGAUUCAUGAGGCUCUAGUAUUCUGAACAUAGUUAGCAUUUAUGAGGCCAGCAAUCACGUUCCUCACAUGCUAGGAACGGAUUUCCUCAAGUUGUAAUGAAAAGGUGCCAGUCUGUCCCAAAACACAAGUUUUAUGGAGACUUGUGGGAGGUGUGCUUUUAACGUCGCCACCUGUAUGCGCUUGCAUCCAGACUGAGGAGAAGUCCGCAAUGGUAUUCCUGACCACGUCCUGAAGUGGUCAGCGAGAUCUGAACACAAUCAGCACAAAGCCACUUCUGUGCGUCUAGACCCCUAUGAGAUCUUCAUAUUCUGAGAGCCAGGGGCGCAACUUUAGUUUUAGAAGUGAAGGGGGACGCCAGUCUCAACGUCAGCAGUGAAGAGGGGACUCUGGGAUUCUGGGCUUUUAGGCAGAGUUCCUCUGUCCAGUGUCUUUGUUCUUUUGCCCAUCUUAAUCUUUUAUUUUUAUUGGCCAGGCUGAGAUAUGGCCUUUUCUUUGCAACUCUGCCUAGAAGGCCAGCACGAGUCGCCUCUUCACUGUUGAUGUUGAGACUGGUGUUUUGCGGGUAUUAAUGAAGCUGCCAGUUGAUGACUUGUGAGGAGUCUGUUUAUCAGUUUCUUAAGUUUCUUGGUAAUUUCUCAGAACAAGAAUAGACUGACGAGUUUCAGAAGAAAGUAAUUUUUUUCUGGCCAUUUUGAGCCUGUAAUCGAACCCACAACUGCUGAUGCUCCAGAUACUCAACUAGUCUAAAGAAAGUUGUAUUGCUUCUUAAAUCGAUCGACACAACAGUUUUCAACUGCUAACAUAAUUGCAAAAGGGUUUUCUAAUGAUAAAUUUGCCUUUUAAAAUGAUAAACUUGGAUUAGCUAACACAACGUGCCAUUGGAACACAGGAGUGAUGGUAGCUGAUAAUGGGCCUCUGUACUCCUAUGUAGAUAUUCCAUUAAAAAAAAAAGAAUCUGCCGUUUCCAGCUACAAUAGUCAUUUACAACAUUAACAAUGUCUACACUGUAUUUCUGAUCAAUUUGAUGUUAUUUUAAUUGACAAAAAAUAAACAAUUAUUUUUACAAAACAAGGACAUUUCUAAGUGACCCCAAACCUCUGCUGAUACCAUAAGUCGCAUGUAGGUGUCAAGUGUAGACACGACCUGGUGUCUACACUUGAUACUUACAUGUGACUUCUGCUACAGUAUCAGAAUACCGAAAUCCCAUUGAAAAGACUGGUCUAGACGCACAAAAGUCGCUAUGUCUUCUGAUUUGUGUUCAGAUCUUGCCUGGUAUGGCAAUAGCACUGCCCUCGAUCGCAUGGCGCCAAAUAGGGUGGUGCGGACAGUCCAGUACAUCCCUGAAGCCGAGUUUCUGCCCUCCAGGACAUCUACACUAUAUGUACAGUACAAUGACAUUCUAGACGAUUCUGUGCUUCCAACUUUGUGGCAACAGUUUGGGGAAGGCCCUUUCCUGUUUCAGCAUGUCAAUGCCCCCGUGCACAAAGUGAGGUCCAUACAGAAAUCGUUUGUCGAGAUUGGUGUCGAAGAACUUGACUGGCCUGCACAGAGCCCUGACCUCAACCCCAUCGAACACCUUUGUGAUGAAUUGGAACUCCGACUAUGAACUAAUCGCCCAACCAUCUGUGGCCGACCUCACAAAUGCUCUUGUGGCUGAAUGGAAGCAAGUUCCCGCAGCAAUGUUCCAACAUCUAGUGGAAAGACGUUUUCUAGCUAUGCCGGGCAUUAUCAGCUCAUUGUUAUGGAUGUAUCCAAAUUAAGGUCAAUAGAAAACAGCUACUUUGCUGUUAUUCUGCCUGCAGAGGUAGUGACUGUGUUAGCCGCAAGGGAUAGGAAUGUUGCCAGCGAGCAUGAUGACAGAACAUAAAGAACGAAUGACUAGGUCGCGUUACUAGCGACCAAAAGAUGAUAAAAGUAUGAAUUUGUUUAUAUAAAUGAAAAUGUCAACAAAAGAUAUGUAAUUUUACCGGGAAAUGUGUGUUUUCAUAUUGUUUUCUUUGGCAACUACGGUAUAAGCGGGAUAAACGCCUCCGUUCUGUACAUUACCUUGGAAGAAGGGACUCUGUCCACCUUGUCCAGCUGCAUGUAAUGUACAGAACUUCUGUGUUUAUCCCUUACAUGUACCACGGGUAUGACAAAACAAUUAUUGUACUCUUCUAAUUACAUUGUUAAUCAGUUUAUAAUAGUGAUAAAGCACCUCCUGGCGUUUGUGGUAUAUGGCCAAUAUACCAUGUCUAAGAGCUGUAUCCAGGCACUCCGCAUUGCGUCCUGCAUUAUAACAGCCCUUACACGGAACCCAAACCGGCUGUGCGCCAUCGUGCAUAAAUUAAUGUUGUAGUCCCACACCAAACGCAAUCACGACACGCAGAUUAAAAUAUCAAAACAAACUCUGAACCAGUUACAUUAAUUUGGGGACAGGUCGAAAAGCAUUAAACAUGUAUGGCAAUUUAGCUAGCUAGCUUGCACUUGCCCAAAGUCCUCAACUGCGACAAUUAAUCCACACAUAAAAUGGUCAACUGAAUCGUUUCUAGUCAUCACUCUUCCUGUAAUAACAUAUUAACACAUGUAAUAAAGCAUUCACUGAUUGUUGUCUGCUAUACUCUAUUCCACCGAGUCCUGGUUCAUGACCGAGUCCAGUUCCUUCAAUCUUAUCAUCAACAUUCCUUCCAGUCUUUUUCUUCUCUUGACUUUAUAUUGCCAUUGGCAACUUUCUUAAAUUAGGGGCAUUACUGCCACUGACCUCGUUCGUCUUCAGUCACCCAUGUGGGUAUAACCAA
rnacentral:lncRNA from 1 species